GAUGAAGAACGUAGCGAAAUGCGAUAAGUAGUGUGAAUUGCAGAAUUCAGUGAAUCAUCGAAUCUUUGAACGCACAUUGCGCCCCCUGGUAUUCCGGGGGGCAUGCCUGUUCGAGCGUCAUUUCACCACUCAAGCCUCGCUUGGUAUUGGGCGACGCGGUCCGCCGCGCGCCUCAAAUCGACCGGCUGGGUCUUCCGUCCCCUCAGCGUUGUGGAAACUAUUCGCUAAAGGGUGCCGCGGGAGGUCACGCCGCAAAACAACCCCAUUUCUAAGGUUGACCUCGGAUCAGGUAGGGAUACCCGCUGAACUUAAGCAUAUCAAUAAGCGGAGGA
rnacentral:misc_RNA from 1 species